AAGCAUGCAUCAGCCACAUCCAUGCUAUCUCCUAAAGCAGUCAUUCUGAAAACCAAUCUGGGGACAGUGCAGACUAAAUAAAAUUUCAUUUUGAUUUGGCCUCCCGCUGAGAAUGGGACUGCUUUGUUUCAGCCGACAGAACCAGCAAGCCAGAAAGGUGUUGAACACACAAAUACUGACUUAACGGAAAAUUACGUGAGGAGAGAAGGAAGUUCCAAGACUGUACAAAAGAAAGCAACCAGAAGAUCAUGUUAUUUGUAACAUACACACCAAUGGAAAGGCCAUUUUUUGAAUGGUUUUAUGAGAAAAAAGCUACACCCAGAGAGAGACUGAUUCUAGGAGGUACAGAUUGAAGACUGCUUCUAAGAGGAAUAACUCACAAAAUCUUGAUGCAGAGAGCAGCCACAGGAGCUCCUGAAAAACACCUGCUUGUCCAGCCUUUCUCUAUAGAAAAAUACGGCAGAAGCACCUCCUCUGAGGAUUCAUGCUCCUUCCUGUUCUCCUAAAAAACAAGUUCACUGGUAUCCUGACCCUUCUACCAUCUGUUCAGUCUGUAUAAAGCUACUUACCAGCAGCUGUCUGUAAGUGGAAGGAGAACAAUCCUGGGAAAUGCAUCUUGCAGGCUUGGCUGCCACACAGAAGAAAAUUUCCAAGGAGAAUUAAUUUCCUGGUGCUCUUCCUGUCAGUAGAACAGGAAUCCUUCAGCAAUAGAUUAUCACCUUCCCACAUUGAAAUGAAGGCUAGACAGCAAAACUUCAAACCACAGAAUCAGGACUCUUCAUUGGUUCGUCCUUGUAAGUGGCAGGACCUUGAGCACUCCUGAAAGGUAUCUGGAUGACUUUUGGCAUCUCCCAGUGACAGAGAUCCCACAGUCUCCCCAGCUGAGGAUGUUUCAGCAACAGGGGAACCAUGAGAAGUUUUUUUUCUCUAUGAUGUGGAAAAUAGAGCUCCAUAAGCAGGACCAAGAUGCUCGUUUUAUGAGUACACACAUAAAAGGGUCUCAAGACAGAAGCAGGUCUACUCAUAUUUCCUCUGACUGAUUUUAGAAAGCUAAAAACUAUGAAGUCUUCAGUGGUGCUACUUUUUGGAAGUUUUGUUCUUAAUGAUUUAGGACCAAUAAAUAAGGAAUCAGAUAUUCCAUAAUAUCAUAGAAUCAUAGAAUCAUAGAAUCGAUCAGGUUGGAAGAGAUCUCCAAGAUCAUCCAGUCCAACCUAUCACACAGCCCUGUCCAAUCGACUAGACCAUGGCACUAAGUGCCUCACCCAGUCUUUUCUUAAACCAUAUCCUAUCUGCAGGAUUAUGUAGCUGGACACAAUUAUCCCUGAUAGUUAGGGUUUAUUUUAAUUAUGAUAUAUAUUUUUUGAUGAACCUUCCUGUUACAGUUGAAUAGUAGAGACAUUAUAAGUCAUAAAUAGCACAUGACAGAACAAAAGAAUUCCAAUAAUGAUGUUUUAAUUUUGAACAAAUAUGCCUUUAGCCAGAAUGUUUGUGAGACAUCUUGAGGCCACUGCAAUAUGAGAAUAUAAAGUGAAUUUUGAAUUCUGAAAUAUGAUGGUGAGCAAUAGAAAACCUGACUCUAAGUUAAUUCCACUCAGAGAGAUGCAAAGUGAUGUGUUAUGCUCCGACUAACCAGCAUGACAAUAUUGAAUGCCAAAUUUUGAAUAUCAAGUACUUGCAGUGAAGUGCUCAUAAAUGAUACACCUUCAUUCAGGGAAUAAUUCUAAAUAAUAAAUCUAAGAAAAUCAUAAACUGCUCUCAUACAACUCACAAAUAGAAAAAGGAGGUAUGGUUUGUCUAACAAAUUAUUCGGAGUGAAUUAUGCAUCUGGCAGGUACCUUGAGUCCCAGAUCUGUAUUUUCUAAAAUUUGUAUGGGAUGUCUUCUCUAAAGAUUUUGCAAUAUAAUUACCUAGUUCAGUCAUUCCCCAGCUGGAUGCUCUACAGCAGUAUCAGUCUGCUCAUAUAUUCCUGGAUGAGACUACUUAUACACUGUUUCCUCAUGCCAUUCCACACUAUGUUUCUAAGCAGAUUUGUCACCCGUUCUGGGAGAAACUGUGGCCUCCAUUUCCUUCAGUGACCUAAAAUAAUUAAGAGCUAAAUCUCCUGUCUUCAAGUACUUUUGCAUAUGCUUAGAUUUAUGCAUGAGCAGUUCCAUUUAUUUUUGUCAGUCUAUUCAUAAGAGUACAUAUAAGCAAACCUGUUUGCAGGUUUUGACUCGUAAGAGAUUCGUCUUGUAGUGUUAUGUGCUUCAUAAUUCUUCAGUAAAUAGAUCAUGAUCACUCAGCGAUGUCCAAACCAUGCACUACUAACCAAUGGAGCUGUGAAUUACCUAUAAUAAAAAGCUG